GACGAACGCUGGCGGCGUGCUUAACACAUGCAAGUCGAACGGAAAGGCCCUGCUUUUGUGGGGUGCUCGAGUGGCGAACGGGUGAGUAACACGUGAGUAACCUGCCCUUGACUUUGGGAUAACUUCAGGAAACUGGGGCUAAUACCGGAUAGGAGCUCCUGCUGCAUGGGGGGGGUUGGAAAGUUUCGGCGGUUGGGGAUGGACUCGCGGCUUAUCAGCUUGUUUGUGGGGUAGUGGCUUACCAAGGCUUUGACGGGUAGCCGGCCUGAGAGGGUGACCGGCCACAAUGGGACUGCGAUACGGCCCAGACUCCUACGGGCGGCAGCAGUGGGGAAUAUUGCACAAUGGGCGGAAGCCUGAUGCAGCAACGCCGCGUGCGGGAUGACGGCCUUCGGGUUGUAAACCGCUUUCGCCUGUGACGAAGCGUGAGUGACGGUAAUGGGUAAAGAAGCACCGGCUAACUACGUG
rnacentral:rRNA from 1 species